CGCGGGAUAGAGCAGUUGGUAGCUCGUCGGGCUCAUAACCCGAAGGUCGUCAGUUCAAGUCUGACUCCCGCAACCA
rnacentral:tRNA from 1 species